GAAAGGUCAGCUCAAAGCAUUUUUUUCCCUAGUAAUUUGCUAACCUCCAGCAGCUCCAGGUUUUCCUGAUAGCCCACUGCCAGCAGUUAUUCCUCAGUUACCAUGACACCCUCUAAAGUGCAAGACUCUGGCCUAAGAACAGAAAACAACCAAGCCACACAAGACUAUGGACAAGUUGUCAAGCAGAUAAGGCUGAAAAAAGCAUAGAGAGACUCUCCAACUGAUGUAAAUCAGUGUAACUUCAUUCAAGCCAGAACUACAAAGCUCACUGUGACUCAGUAAAUAACUUCAGGGAUCGGAGAACCUUACCUGCAAUUUGCUGCAGUGUUUUGCUACAGAUAUCCUUUAGCCUGCACAGAACCAUUUUAUAUAUAUUAUAUUAGUCCAUAUUAUAUAUGUAAUAGUGGACUGCCCAUGCAAGUGACUGCUAUUUGGCCCUGGUAAAGGGCAAUUUGAAGGGGCCUCGACUGCUGAGAUCAAGGCUGAAACUCUGGAGUGCACCUACAGACUCAGUCACAGGAAGGUUUCAUUUGCUUAGAUACAGGAGAGUAAGGACAUACCAUCAAGUAAAAGAACAACCCAGGGAACAAGUUACUAACCAAAAAGUUACUCCUGUUAAACCAUCACAGUACUUACAACAGAAGUGGAUAUGGAGAAACAGAAUGAAGGGGGGAAAGAAAGGUCUUACACUUUAUCAGCUCAAUGGUAGUCUAUCAAGAUUAACAACGUUACAGGAAGAAAACAUACUGACAAUCAGCAGGUAGACAGCUUCUGGCCCGAAUCUUCAUACAGUGCAUCUCUAGUUCCAUCAUUACUACACGCAUAGUAGUAACCUCUGGAAAGAUUCAUGUUCUCACUGGAUUAUAUGUAAGAAACAAUACUGUUCAGCUCAAAACUGUUCAGCAUUUUAUUUUAAAAAUAAAUCCCACUGAAACUCUAUGUGCGACGGCA
rnacentral:lncRNA from 1 species